UACGUAGGGCGCAAGCGUUGUCCGGAAUUAUUGGGCGUAAAGAGCUCGUAGGCGGUUUGUCGCGUCUGCUGUGAAAUCCUGAGGCUCAACCUCGGGCUUGCAGUGGGUACGGGCAGACUAGAGUGCGGUAGGGGUGACUGGAAUUCCUGGUGUAGCGGUGGAAUGCGCAGAUAUCAGGAGGAACACCGAUGGCGAAGGCAGGUCACUGGGCCGCAACUGACGCUGAGGGGCGAAAGCAUGGGGAGCGAACAGG
rnacentral:rRNA from 1 species